AGAAUCAGGCGUAACUAAAAUGAUAAUAAAAAAGUCUAUAUAAUAAAACAAGUAUCGAAAUGAUUCACGACCAGUUUGACCAAUGACUAUUAACGUUACACAAAUAACUGUUGCAACCUCUGAUGAAUAAUUCUGACACAAAAUAAAUAUAAUACUCAGAUAAACAUCUUAAUAAUUAAAUAAAUAUCGACGAAUAUCAAGUUUUGGUAUUUAAUUUUUUAUUGAAUGAGUUGAUAUGUUAUUUGAUAUAGAUUUUACGCUAUAAAAAGAUAAUAUAGAUAUGGGGUGUAUGUCCGGUACUAGAUACAGGUAUUCGAUAGUUCUAGCGAUACUCUUAUGAUUCAGGUUCGGAUGCCACGUCUUCUCGAAACAUUGCUAACAAUCUCAGGGUCUGAGUCACUCAGUUGCGUUAUGAGUCACACACAGUCGAACCUUAUUAGCUGAAGAAUUGGUUUCUAACAAAGGAAUGUUGUUGUCGAAUAAACUAGUUAUACAGUCGAUAAAUGUUUGCCAUCUGUAUUAUAAUUUUGGAUGUCGUUCUUGAUCGAUUUUGAUUUUAAAAACUGGAAGUAACUUUGCAAACAAAUGUAAAGAAAAAAUACAAUGGACCGUUAUUUUGAGAAUGCGCUACAAUAUUAUAGUAUCGAUUCUUUAAAUUUUGUAUCUUUUAAACGUAAAAAGGUAACUUUCAAGAAAACAAUAAAUAUAGUAAUCACGGCAAGUUUAACUUUAACACGUUGUAGAAAUGUCAUUUACAGCGUACUGUUUCAUUAUAAGCGCCGAUGUACAACGGCCACUAGCACCCACAUGUACCAUGUAUCAAUAGAAGGGCUUUAACUUGCUCAAUCAUUGACUGAUGAAUACCUCUAUAUGCAUACACAUACCAAGGCGUAUUGUUAACCAAUAUCGUGUUCCAUGUUACCGUGCUACCAUUCACGACUUUCUCCGAUACGAUAUAUUGUGACUGCUUUACCCAGCGUUGAUUCGGUCAACACAAUUUCUCGUCAGCUAGAAGAAGACAAAGAAAGAAUGCGAAAGCUAUGAGUGCAGGUCAUUAUACCAACGAACUGGUUCGACGCCUUCCUAACUGUAUAUGUUUCUCGCAAUAGAGUUUCAAAAUCUUCUUUUGCAUAUAUCAUAAUUCCUUUUUCUCCUACAAAAUAGAUUUGUAAAAACCAUAAUUUACUUCUAGACUAAAACAAUAAUGUGAACCAUUAUGUCUCUUUCUUGGAUUAUUCCACCAGUAACAUUUGCUUGUUUCAACAAAUACUUCACUACAAAGGAAGGACUCGAAGGAACGAACUCAUUUACCUUUACUAGGUACCGUUUAACAUACAAAUCGCUAACGUUAAGGGAAAAUAUUAGACGAUACAAGGAAACUAGGAUACAAGAAUUUUCACAACAUUAAUCGCAUUGUAUUAUAAUUUUUCCAAAUAUAUCCAUCGUUAAAAUACUGAUGAAAACAGCUUAUUAUUUAAAUGAUCUCAAUAAAGGAAAAGUGAUUCGCGAUUCAUUGCAAAGUACCUAGAUUCUACCUAUUGUGCCGAUAAUGAUGUUAUCCAACUUUUUCCCUACCGGCCUAUGAUACUAACAUUUGCUCAUGCAAGAUGCAGCACGAAACUAUCGCUAAAUUCACCAUCUCUCAUCGACGGCGACGGGCAACGGCGCGUUGCUGGGCAACCAGACAGUCAGACUGCUGUCUGCCGAUCUUCCAGGGGCGCGGAAGGCCGCGACGAGACGAGAAGAGUAGACGCGAACGUAGAGGAGAGAAGAAUUGAACAGAGAUAGUACGAGAGAAAUGAAAGGGUGGGGGUCACCGGGUGUAAAACAGGUGUAGAGGGAGUAAGGUCGUUGCUGGAGGGGUAACGCGACCAUUUGACCGUAGGACGAGAAGAACGAAAGCUCUACCACAAAAAAAAGAGAAAGGGGGAUGGAAUGAGAAAAGGGUAAAUGUGUAUAUAGUAGAGUAGAGUAGAGAGUGGAGAGUAGAGAGAAAAAGUUUCAAACGGGUGGUGCAUAGUGGUGGUAUUCGACGUCGCGAUAGUGGGGGAGCAAUGGCACGAAGGUGCAACAGAGGGAUCGGGGUAAAAUUGGUGGGAAACGGUGCGGCGUCAGGGGCGGCCGGGCUAGACGAGUCGAGGUCAGUUAUCCGCCACGCCCGACGCCGACGCCGUCGUUCUGGCGCACCGCAUUGCAUUUUCGGCGCCACUGCUGCCGCUGCGUAUCACUGCAUUACCAAUGCUCUCUUUUUUCCUUCUGCUUUCUUUCCUUCUUUUUCCAUUUCUCUCGCUCCUUCUUAUUCUAACCUUCCCACAUCAUUUUUUCCCUAUCCUUUUUCUUUACUUAUUUCUUUCUGCACUUUCCUUCAUCCGUUGUUCCGAGAACGCGCGUUACGAGAAUUUCUCUUUUCUACCUUCUUGCUCUCUUUGUACCUUGCUGCAGGUUUACUGCCUACCUACUUGUCUAUUGCUGACGCCUAAACUACGGACUGCAUCACGCUUGCGCAAUUCGCAUAGUCGUUUUGCGGUGGAGUAAACCGGGCAGGGGCAGGGCUUAUCGUACGAAAUUUGUGGCUCUCUGUAAUGAAAAUGUUCAUUCUAGCAAAAUCUUGUCAUUCAAGUCAUAUAUCUUAUCGUCCUUGAACGUAAACUCUGAAUAUUCUAAGUCACAACGAGCGAGGAGGAAAGAACGGAGCACCAAUUGUACAUUGCUUGUGCCUAUGCAAUAAUUUUUCAUUUUUAAAAUAUCGUAUAAAAUAAAUGUUCACACGAAAUAUUCGACUCGUAAUAGGAAAUAUACCCAUUUCUGUUUGCGUAUAGAACGAUAAUUUAGGAACAUGCACGGAUUUCCCCGUUCGCCGGUAUCGGAAAUGACUAAGUCGUGGCAAGAAACGUAUAGAGUCGUCAGAGUAUUCAUGAAAUGGUUAAGCUUGUCUCGCGGUUGUCUGGCCGUCUAGUCAGACUUUGUCAGGGUCGUUCCAAAGAACGAGCAUUGUGACGAUCGUUUCACGUUGCACUCGGGCUUGAAAAAAGUAGUGUUUAAUAAGAUAAUGUCGCUUUCUGCCGUCUCGUGUGUAUGUCUAUCUAAGUAUGUUGCAGCAUUUUUGCGACGAAUAAAAGAAAUAGAAGCUAUUCAGCCUCCAUUCUGACUGAAGUAUUAUAAAAAAUUAAUUCCUUUAGUCGGUACUAGUAGCGUAAUUUCUCAAAGAAAUAAUUAUCCUUGUAUUAGUGGUUCUAGCGGAGAUGAAAGAGGUCUUUGUAUUGUAUUUUCUUUUAAUUAAAUAACACUAACAGUGAAUCGUGAGUGGAAAUGCGAACGGUGACUGGUAGAAGGCUUUAUGCAUAAGGAUGAUGUCUGUAGGCGAAGAAUAAUAAAAAGUUAAACGUCUCGGUAGAGAAUGAGAACCGUAGUAGAUUUUUUUUUACUUUAGAGUUUAGUUGGAAUCUAAAUUUCACUCGUUUUUAUAUAUAUUAUAUAUUAUUUAUAUUUAUAUAUAUUUUUUUUUCGUUACCUUUCCCCAAAAUAACCUUUUUAAUAACUUUUUUAAACGCGUGAAGAAAUUUUGUGGCAGGGAAGCAACGAAUAACUUGUAGAGAAUUUCUUUCAACUUUGUAGAAUGUAAUUACGAAUUCCAAACGUCUCUGGACUCGUUAAAAUUAACAUGCUGCUUCCUCGAUCGCGUUUUUCCCACUUCUUUCGAACUACCCCACUUUUCAACAAAAGAAUUUUGCCAUUUUAUAUUAGUAAUUUUUCCUAUAACUAGACACUUACAAGAAACGCCCAACUACUAUACCAAAAUCUUGGUUCAACACCCGAAGAUUAACCACUCCGCCGUCAGGAAGAUAUAUUUCUCGCGUAUGUUUUUAGUACGGUCAGCUAGUUCGAUUUAGUGCUAUGUUCGCGGGAACGUGCAUGCGUAGCAGUCGCAUAUAGACAAAGUUGCACAGACGAGAAGAGAAGAAAAAAAAGCAUAAUACACGAACGCGUGCAACGAAGUUUCACUGUGCGACAUGGAGGAGCGGCUCAAAGGCAUGGCGGCACGAUGAUCGCGUUCAAACGCACGACAAAUUAACUCCCGGAGAGACAAGUGUGUGCACUUGACUUUGAAUUAUCCGCUUAAAUGGUGAAAAAAGCACACCUCGACCGAUACUUUCCUUCGAAGUUCAUUUUAUCGGAAUGAAAGUUUUCAUAUCAUUAAUACAAGCGUUGCGCUGUAGCUUCGCAACUGUCGAAUUUGUUCCAACUCAUUGAUGCGAGAUGUGACCGAUUAUCGAGGUAAACUUCAAUUAUGUUUUUGUCGGGUUUUCAGUGAUUCGCCGUUAUAUCGUGAUAUCAUUUUAUCUGACGUCGAGAACGUUGCUUCAUUAUCCAGAUGCUAUUGAAAUACACAGUAGAUGAAAUCUUAGCACGAUAUCGAUGAUAACACUUUAGUAUAAACGCGAUCAUAUGUAGGAGUAGGGUGCGUUGAUUGAUGAACACGGCCCUGCAGACAGUAAGUAUCCCUUACCCCCACCAACGUCGGGGUAACCACCAAACCCUCACCACAUCUUCCAUCUGCUUUGGUACGUUAUUGGCACCGGCUGAUGGCCGAUGCGAAUUUACUGUGGUUCGACAGAGAUAGCAGGUGGAGGACGCUAGGAGGAAUCGAGAUAAAGCACGGAGAGAAUCAAGAAUAAUGAAGAAGGAAAAACAGAGAGGAGUAGAGGAACGUUUUGCACGUCUUUCUCGCGGUAUGUUGCUCCGAAAUAGAGAAAAGGACCCGAAAAGAAAUUCCAUAGGAUGAAACAAUGGCAAUUUAGAAGAAAUAGGAUUCGCGACAGAGGCCGUUUUACGAAAUUUCGAAACCCAUUUGGCAAAUCUUAGCAAAUUACUUACUUGCGUUGAAUUUUUGCUUAUUUCAUAGAAGGUAAUGGGUAACUUGUGCAGCAAAAUUUUUGGAGAAACGUAAGGUAGAAGGAUCGAUAAAAUAAUUGACGGAUAUAGAUAUGUACGUACGUAUAUAGAUUGCUUACCAUAUCGUGUACCGCAAUUUACUGCAUCUGAUAAUAGAUUGGUAGUUUCCAGGUUAAAUAAUUGCCUAAUGUACAAAUCAGCUUUGAUUUCCCAUUAAGCAAUCAACGAGAUUGGACCGAGUUCCUUUUGAACCUAUUUACUGGAAAAUCGACCUAGAAGCGCGAUCAAAGAGCAAUGGGGCCUCGUUCGCGUUUGUGUUCCACACGAGGGAAGUAGAUGUGGCCUACGUUUGAUCAGCCGUCGAUAUGCAAUUUCCAUUCGACUCGUCAUUGUUUCAGCAGAGUGAUAGAGUAAUAGCUAACGAUCGAAAGGGACAUUCGGGUUUAUACGUUAUUUCAACCGGGCCGUAUCCAGAUGUCUUCGGCCUGUGUCGGAGAUAGUUGAUUUCAUUACUGCGAUGGUGAAUCAUCGAUGAAUAAAGCGUUGAAUCGGGCUAGCAUAACAAUGAACGCGUUUGCAUGGUUUUUUACGGCUUUUCCGAUACCAUUCCUAGUCGUCGACAUACAAAGUUAAUGGACGUUUCACUGACACUUCCUCUUGUUAAAAUUCUACAAGAUUGCAUUCAUCGUAGGGAUAUACGUACGCAUAAAUAUGCUACCUUUUCCUAUAUAAGUCGUCGGCAGAAUGGUCGAACAAAAUAUUUCUAGAUACGCUCGGUGUACACAGACCGUUUCGCGAUGAGAUGUAUCCUUGUAGUUUAACGAAUGCCGUCCUUAAGAGGGAAAGACAGCGAUAGUACACGUAGAGCCGGGCUUGGUGACGGUAUUGCUCGCACGAGAAUCGUCCAUAGAAAACGUUCGGUAUCUCUUUCGCGACAGCUUUACCCUCGCCGGGUUCUAUAAGCACGUUGUAAGACCUAUCGUUCACGAAUAUGGACGCGUGUACCGACAUGUUUGUAUAAGUCGUUAAUCUUUGAGGAGUCCGAUCGUUUCUCAGAAUAUAGAACCUGUCUCUCGUUCUCGUAUCGCGUCUCUCGUCCGGCGACAAUAACUAUUCGUAUUUCCAUCUGGCUGUCCGACAUCUAACGAACGUAGAAUGUUAUCGAGCUCCAGAGGAGUCGUAUGAAUAUCUGAUCUCUGCAGAGUAUUCACACGAUACUCUCUUACCGGUAUAUUAUGGCGACCUGUCUAGUAAUUACUAACUGACACCUCGGUCGGAGGAUAUGGUUCUUCUCCGAAAGAUGACACAGGUGUUAAGGAGAAGCCGAGCUUGAAAGUUUCACGAGCGAGAACGCAGUGGUUGAUUCGCGAUGGUGAUAGUGCAUGCACGGUGUCGAAAGCUGGAUAACGGCAGUACGAACGUUGCAUGUAAUGUUUCAUGCAUUGUGCCAGAUCAGUACGAUAAUAAUCGUUCGAAGUAGACUGGCAGCCAAGCAGUCCAGCGGCAAGCAAAACGCAAGCAGCAGCACCCGCGACGAGCUAUUCGUUCGGUUCGUUCGUCGGGUGAAGGACCCAGUCUCUCCCUCCCUCCUUCUCUCCCACGUUCCCCUUCCACGGGAAAUGAUCGUUCUCUCCAUCUAGCCUGCGUGUGUUUCUCUCGAUUCCCUUUCUUUCUUCCUCCUCGUUAUCCCUUUAUCCCUUUCUCGCUUCCUCUCGAUACUUCUCUUUCCGUCCGUCCCCACUGCAGGCCCAUCCCCUUGUCGCCUAUCUGCCUCCAGUCAUCCUAGCCCCCUCCCCUCGACACCCCACUGGCUCGUCCUCCAUCACCAGCCAUCUCUGCAAUUCUACUGCCGCAGUCCAUGCACAUCAAACGAUACCACCUGGUUUCUCAAAUUGCGACGUCCACCGGAUCCAAAUGAAAUUACAUGCAAUCCUGCCAGACCUUGCUAGCUUUUUCAUUUUCUUCUCACUCCUGCGAGAACGAGAAUUUAGACACGUUCGAACUAACGGUGAAGAUUUUUCAUGGUUUUCGCGAUUUUAACUGCUAGUGCUUUUUACAUCUUAUUCGAAGAAUCCCUUGAAAUUCGUCGGAACUUUUUAUGCCAAUGCUUGGAAUACUUUUAUUUGCUAGUAGCUGUGCUAACAGAACCAUGCAACUUCUACCUUUCCUAACGAAAAUAUCACGGCAUCUCAUAAUUGUGAUAAUUUUGUUCACGUUUAAUAAUCAACAGCUUUAAAAUCAACUCGAGAUUAAUCUUCCUUCCAUCGCCGUUGCAUUUAUAUUCGCGACCAUUCUCUGUCCACAAUCACAUCCUAGAUUAUCGAUUUCCUUUGAAAUUCUCUGAAAGUGGAUCUCUGUAUCCUAUACUUUUGUAGUCACUCGAUGUUUCUGAGUGGACAGCUGUAAACGCGUGGUCGUAAAGUUUUAUCGCUAAAUGAAUUCAGUUGCACGGAUAAAUAUAAGGCUUUUAAGGUCUCGAUCGUCGCGUGCUGCAUAACGAGACAAAAGAGUUCCUUUGUACGAAACCGGUUCGUGUUGUAAACUAAAAAUCCCGUCAGGUCGAUUGGCUGAUUUAUUAAUUGAUAUUCAAUGAAAACGUUUUGAUUUCCCGCGACUCUUUAAAGAGCCGCUCCUAUCCCCCCUCUCUCUCCUCUUCUCUUUGUGUCGAAAGGAGUUUUAUAUUAUUCGCCCGUCCAUCGCAUACAUUUCCAUUUACCUUCGAUCUCGGAACACUUUAAAAGCUCUCUGAUAAUUGGACGCGCAAUCUUCCCCGAGAUAUAGAAAGGGUGAAGUAAUAUCGAAACGAUGAUACGGUGGUAUUACUUUGCGAGCAUUGCAAUUUCUAUGAGGCAAGAAAGAGGCUGGCGCCGGGCGCCUCCAAUUGCACAAGAUCGCGUAAUAAUACGACUAAAGACUAUGUGCAUAUAUCCGUACACGUAUACUGCAGAGUCUUCGGAAUAUCGAGGCAUUAGUGUCGUGACGAAACGAAGCCCUCGAGUGUGCGCGUUCCGCUGCAACAAUUUCCUUGAUCGAUAGUUUUGCCAACAAAUAGAAACAUUUCCUACGCCCUCCUAUUCACGUGGAAAUGAAAUUCGAGCGACACGAUGUGUCGCUUUAAAGUGUUCGAUUUUCAAGAUUACUUUUAACGCGAUGAACGGCGAAAAUAUAUUAUUAGAUAAAUAUAUUAUUAGAGAUCUGACGUUUAACCUCACAAAAAUCAAUCGAAUGAUUGUAGUUUUGGUCCAAACUGGUACAUUCAAAAUUAUUUGAAAUGUGGUUGCGGUCUGUAGGGAAGUGGCAGUUAGUUUCGGCGUGCAAGGAUGUUGAUCCACGAUUUUGGAAGAGAAGCUGAAGCGCUAAAUGUUGAUAAAUCCCGCGGGUCGGUGGUCCCGCGACACUUAGACAUUCGUAGAGGCUGGGCUGUGAGUUGCACGCACGGAUAAAGGAUCGACCGUGGCGAUUCCGACAGGAAUUCCCGAUGAGAUGGGCGGAAAGUACAAAGGUUCGACGCGCUUCGGCGGUUCUCGGUACGGUGGGCUUCCGGUCGAAUUCGGCUAGCUCCGAUCGGCCUCGUGCGCGCUCGUCUAGGAUCGGGCCGCCUAGUGGGGUCUACAUCGUGCAGGACGGGUAGUAGCGGCGCGCUGCGAGACCGGCAGUUUUGCGCCCCGUGCAACGGCCAAUCGGCCAGUUCGUCGCCGGCUGUUCGUGAAAGAGGUAUUUUCGCACAUCGUUCUGCGUCCGCUCUCCAAUCGGAGAUUCUUCUGCAUCACCGUCCACCGAUUCUGUCCUCGCUAGUUGUUUCUCUCUAUUUGUCGUCCGUCUAUUAUUCCGCGUACUUUUUCUCAAUUUUCGUAUUCUCCUUUCUGCACGUACGGUUCCUUUUUUUUUGUCUCGUUUAUUCUCCAAAUAACCAGUCUAUCAGUUUCCCUUUGUAACGUGUUUCAUAUGAUUGAUGAGCAUCUUCUUCGAAAGUCUACCCAACCAUGAAUCCGUAAGUGCGUAUCAUUCGUUGCCACGUAUGUCGGUAUGCGAGCGAAUUGUCGAGUGUUUGGUGACGUGUUAAAACGCGGCCAUUUCCACCGGCCAUGAACGAGAUAGAGAGCGUGUUGCGUGAGAUAGAGAGUGAGAGCUUGAAAGACGUCGGUAUCUUUGUAUAAGUCUGUAAUUCGGAAUUUCGCAAGUUGAUCCCCACUGAUUCCCGAUGAUUUUGAUUUUGUUGCCAGAAACGUGCUCCCUUUCGGUUCUAUUCUUCUUCUUUUCCUUCUACUUCUUUCAUUUUAAUUGAAAUAGUAUGAACUUUAGAGAAAGAUUGAAAAAAAUACGAAGAUGGUCAGUUGUCAUACGUUUACGUGCCGGAAGAUCAAUUCGAUGGGAAUUUUCGUGGAAAGUUGUUCGUUAUGAUUUCCGCAGAUGGUGUAAUAUAUACUUUGAAAAGAAGUAAAGAGAAAGGAAAAAGCAAUGAUAAUCGCACAAAAAAAAAGAAAUGACGAGAAACGGAUCUUUUAGUACCGGGGGUAAAAGUCGCGUCGAAAAUAAUUUGCAGUCGCGCCUGUCACGCGUGCCGGCUUUUAUGCUGGUUUACGCCGCAUUCCGAAUUCCGAAAGCGAUCUUUCGAUUUCGAGACCUCGAGGGACAACAGUGUUUCAACAGUUUUUUUUUUUGGUGAUGUCGACCGGAAUUCGAUAGAAGAAAUGGCGAUCGAUGUGGCGAAAAGAAACGAGGAAACGUCACGUAAUAGUGGUGCGCAGCCGAUUACCCUGUCGGCUAACCUCGUUUUCGCUGUUCACCGGAAGAGACAAACACGUGCACAUCAGUCAGAAUGCUAGUAGCCGGCUCUUGGUCAACGAAGGGAGCCAUCGAUAAUUGGAACAUCGUCGUAACAAAUUCUACAGUAUCUGCAGAAAAAACUUAUGCGUGACAGAAACGUUCUUCCGUUGUAGCGAUAAGCGUGCAGUGUCUCUCAAUCAGAAUAUUUGUAUCGAAUUCUUUAGAAGGAAUAAAACGAAUUAAAAGUACGAGCAAAGAAUUCUCAUUCCAUUAAUCGUAUGUAUGUAUGCGCGUAUGUGAGUAACAUUCAUCCAGUUCGAUAUUCAA